AAUUGCAUAACAUGGCUUCCCUCUUUCUUCUCUUUCUUUUUAAUUUUGGCUCGAAAAUUUCCCUCCCAAAAUUUUCUCCACUAAGAUCGUGGGAUGUUUAUCACGAUCUCAGAUACAGUUUCUUUUUGGAUAAACCCAUAUAUUUAGUUUACACAGCAAACUUAGCCCUAGAAUUUGGAAAAACGAAUCAAAGGAAUUGGAGAAAUUAACUGCUUUGGACAACUUAACUGAUAUCAGUUUUGGAAGGUGCUGCGACAACUCAAUUAUAUAUCACACACUCAAGAGGUCCCAAGUGCUUCUACGUGGAUAAAGGAGGAGGGGAAAGGAGAUUAGUCGGGAAGGGAUUCAAGUAAUUUUGGUUGAUGUUGGACCAUCCUCAAUAUCGUCACACGUACAAGAGGUAAAGCUGGUCUGUUGCAAGUUUUCUUAAAUUAAUUUGUGUUGGUUCAAUUUAUUGGUUUUGGGGAGCUGUGUUUGUUCACAGUACACGAGUAGGAAGAACUGUAUGUAGAAACCUAACGCUAUUGGGGUGUCAAUCUAGUCCAGGUGUGACAAAUGCAUUAGUUACUGUGGAUAUCUGAUGAUGGCGUUCCAGACCUAUGAGGCAUUAAUAAAGAUGACUCAGAUGAGCCAUGCUUUGCUGAUGAAAUCAGUCAUCCGGUUCUUACUUAUCUUGUGGUUCCUCCAUCGAAAAGUCUACAUGGAGCUAAAUGAAUUCAUCAACUGGCUGUAAAUUCUCUUCUUAGGAGCAACCAAAUCAAUGAGAUGGAAGGAGGAGCCUUGUUUGUAUUUGACCUUUGUAUUUUUGAAUCACAUGCAAAAACUGGAUUUCAUGAGGCUAGUGCAUUUGCAUCUGCGUUUGGUAUGCAGUCGAAACUCCAUGAUCCAGCGCCGUUUUGCACCGGGUAUUACACUAGGUAAUAAUUUUUUCAAGCUCCACUGGAAUUCAAGGAAUAUGCCUCCAAAGUUGGCGUAGAUUUUGUCAGAAAAAUGGUUUGUACUAUUUAUGUGCCAUCAAGUUAGAAAGAGCAGCUGAAUAUUGCAAAAUGUUUGAUUGAGAUCAUAACUAUGGCGUCCAGGAGGCUAUCAUUUUCAUCAUGGGUAUCUCUAGGCGAUAUCCUAACACCUAUCAAUCAAUCAUUGCAGUACUUUGCAUGUGGAUUAGACACCUUAGUUGAAAGCAAAGGUUUCUUGGAGAGUUUCUCAGAAGAGCCUGCUCUGGUUCAGUUACAUUUGCUUACAGUCACUAUUAAAUUUUUAUGAAGAAUCCAACAGAAGGCCCACAAAGAAUGAUUUAGGUUUGUUGCUUCAAUGCUUGAUAUUGAUGCUCCUGCAUUUUCAAUUGCACCAUUGCAGGUAGUCCUGAAUAAUGCUACUGUUGAGACGGACAAUCCAGUUCUGCGUGAUCGGGCUAUAAUUAUUUGCAAGUCUAACACGGUAUUGCCAGACUGUAAGUCCACGGAAGUAAUCGUUUUCGGAUAAUAAAUAUAGUGGAGAUGUCUUCAAGUCCAACACGGUAUUUGCCAGGAUUUAAAUGUUAGGAAGAACGUACAAGUUUAAGCUUCUCGCAAAAACCAUCAAAAAGGAUGGGCGACUAAAAGAUACCUUGACACUACUAACGAAUUUAGUUUCGUUUUCUUGUAUUUGUAAAGAAAGAAAUGAUCCAAUCUUAUCUGUUUGACUCUUUGCUUGUUUCAAAAGCAUAUUAGUAAUGAUAUUACGAGAAAUA